AGAGUUUGAUCCUGGCUCAGGAUGAACGCUGGCGGCGUGCUUAACACAUGCAAGUCGAACGGAGCUUUUUUUGAAGGAGACUUCGGUCAACGGAUAUUUAAGCUUAGUGGCGGACGGGUGAGUAACGCGUGAGUAACCUGCCUUUCAGAGGGGGAUAACGUUUGGAAACGAACGCUAAUACCGCAUAAAACAGCAGUAUCGCAUGAUACAACUGUCAAAGAUUUUAUCGCUGAAAGAUGGACUCGCGUCCGAUUAGGCAGUUGGCGGGGUAACGGCCCACCAAACCGACGAUCGGUAGCCGGACUGAGAGGUUGAACGGCCACAUUGGGACUGAGACACGGCCCAGACUCCUACGGGAGGCAGCAGUGGGGAAUAUUGCACAAUGGGCGCAAGCCUGAUGCAGCAACGCCGCGUGAGGGAAGACGGUUUUCGGAUUGUAAACCUCUGUUCUUAGUGACGAAGAAGUGACGGUAGCUAAGGAGCAAGCCACGGCUAACUACGUGCCAGCAGCCGCGGUAAUACGUAGGUGGCAAGCGUUAUCCGGAAUUACUGGGUGUAAAGGGAGCGCAGGCGGGGUAGCAAGUCAGCGGUGAAAAUUAUGGGCUUAACCCAUAAACUGCCGUUGAAACUGUUACUCUUGAGUGGAGUAGAGGCAGGCGGAAUUCCGAGUGUAGCGGUGAAAUGCGUAGAUAUUCGGAGGAACACCAGUGGCGAAGGCGGCCUGCUGGGCUCUAACUGACGCUGAGGCUCGAAAGUGUGGGGAGCAAACAGGAUUAGAUACCCUGGUAGUCCACACUGUAAACGAUGAUUGCUAGGUGUGGGGGGUCUGACCCCCUCCGUGCCGGAGUUAACGCAAUAAGCAAUCCACCUGG
rnacentral:rRNA from 1 species